ACUCCUGCGGGAGGCAGCAGUGGGGAAUUUUGGACACUGGGCGAAAGCCUGAUCCAGCCAUGCCGCGUGCAGGAUGAAGGCCUUCGGGUUGUAAACUGCUUUUGUACGGAACGAAACGGCCUUUUCUAAUAAAGAGGGCUAAUGACGGUACCGUAAGAAUAAGCACCGGCUAACUACGUGCCAGCAGCCGCGGUAAUACGUAGGGUGCAAGCGUUAAUCGGAAUUACUGGGCGUAAAGCGUGCGCAGGCGGUUAUGUAAGACAGUUGUGAAAUCCCCGGGCUCAACCUGGGAACUGCAUCUGUGACUGCAUAGCUAGAGUACGGUAGAGGGGGAUGGAAUUCCGCGUGUAGCAGUGAAAUGCGUAGAUAUGCGGAGGAACACCGAUGGCGAAGGCAAUCCCCUGGACCUGUACCGACGCUCAUGCACGAAAGCGUGGGGAGCAAACAGGAUUAGAAACCCUGGUAGUCCCAUG
rnacentral:rRNA from 1 species